rnacentral:rRNA from 1 species
CCUACGGGUGGCAGCAGUAGGGAAUAUUGCUCAAUGGGGGAAACCCUGAAGCAGCAACGCCGCGUGAGGGAUGAAGGUUUUCGGAUUGUAAACCCCUUUUUUUAGAGAAGAAAAUGGCGGUAUCUAACGAAUAAGCACCGGCCAACUACGUGCCAGCAGCCGCGGUAAUACGGAGGGUGCAAGCGUUACUCGGAAUCACUGGGCGUAAAGAGAGCGUAGGCGGGAUAGCAAGUCAGAUGUGAAAUCCUAGGGCUUAACCAUAGAACUGCAUUUGAAACUGGUAUUCUAGAGUAUGGGAGAGGUAGGUGGAAUUCUUGGUGUAGGGGUGAAAUGCGUAGAGAUCAAGAGGAACACUCAUUGCGAAGGCGACCUGCUAGAACAUAACUGACGUUGAUGCGCGAAAGCGUGGGGAGCAAACAGGAUUAGAUACCCGUGUAGUC